rnacentral:lncRNA from 10 species
UUAAAGGACUUGUGUCACAGAGUAAAUUAGAACCCACGCUUAAUUCUAAAUCUUGAAUGUUGUGCUAGUAAAUGUGUUGUUUUCUAAAGAGGUAGAAAGCACUGAAGGUUUUAUUGGACAGGAGAGUAACAUCAGAAAUAUGAUAUUUGGCAAAAUUACUUUGGGCAGUGUGGUAAAUGGACUGAAAGGGACAGAGUUAAUUGAGCUGAAAACCAGUAUUGACGAGCAAAGAGAGCAAAGACUCAUUCUGUGGUUUACUUUAUGUGUGAGGCCUUAGUCUCACGUUUGGUUUAAGGUGACAGGACUUUUCCCCUGGAAAAGUUGUUUUCAUACCCAAGGGCUUUCUCAGAGAUAUUAAGAAGGUUCCCAGCAUCAUUACACACAGGCAAAGUCAGAGGGACCAGUCUUUCUGUGUGGGCGGCCGUGAGAAAGGGCAUGACCUUGGUUGAGGUGGCCUGCAGCUCAGGCAAUCCCUGAAGAGACUGACAGCUGAAGACUUUCUGUUGUCAGCAUCCCCAGAAGCUAGUGCAGCAACUCUUUCUCAGAAGGAGAAUCUGGAGGCACAUUAUAGCAUCCACCACAUUACCUGCUCAUCCAAACUUCUUUUGCACUUUAAAUGAUGGAAGCAUUCUCCUAUAAAUAUUGGUAAUUGUUUUUCCAAACUGUGGUAAGUAAAUGUAGUUGAGAGCUACUUAAUGCUCAUGAAAAAUCUCAGAGUAAUUUUUGUUAGAAAUGCAAAAUUUGCUUUCUCAAACUUUUUUUAACAGGAAAAAUUAACCCCAAAUUUUGUGGAGUUGUGACAAAUACUUAUCUCCAUUCAAAGCAUAACAACAAAAGUGAGCUAUUCUAGUGCUACUCAUCUCAUGCACCUGCAUAGUAUAUCAGAGAGACAAGCAGAGAGUGUUAGCUUCCUAUUGCUGAUUAACUAAUUAACAAAAACUUAAUUGCUUAAAAAUAAUAACAAAUCUUAUGAUUCUAGAAGUUAGAAAUUGAAAAUGCAUCUCUAUGGGUUAAAAUCAAGCAAACAUAGCAUCUUCAAAUCUCUUCUCUCCUCUCUCUCUUUCUCUCUCUCCCUUUCACUGUGAUAUCUCCUUAUUUUUUUCUUUGAGUUUAAACUUUCUGCCUCUUCUAAGGUGCUGUGUGAUUACAUUGGGCCCACCUGGGAAUCCAGGAUAAUCGCCUCACCCAAAAUCCUUUAUCUUAAUCACAUGCGUAAAGUCCCUUUUGCCAUGUAAAAUAACAUAUUCACAGGUUUUGGGGAUUUGGACAAAUAUAUAUAUGAGGGAAUUCUGUCUACAACACAGAAUAAAACUAAUUUUAGCAUGAAUUAUGUUUGUGGUGACAUCUUUGAUGUAGAAAUGUAGAUCAUCCCAUAUAAAAAUAUCUGCCUAAAUAUUUUUAUAAAUUUUUAAAAAAACUAUUAGUUUAUACUGUAUAGAAG